CCCACACUUAUGUGUGUAGGACCUCAAAAGAUCACCAUUAAAUUUGACACAGAUCUCUAGAAAAGCUAUCACAUGGGUGUGAGAUUUGACUUUUCUAGAGAUCUGCGUUAAAUUUAAUGGUGAUCCUUUGGGGUCCUACACACAUAGGUGUGGG
rnacentral:pre_miRNA from 1 species